UGAUGGGAUGCUAUUGCACAGAUCACCCUGCAGAUGUUGUAUUCAUACACUGUGCAGUUAAAGCCAAUGGAGAGAUGUCCCCACACCUCUGAUGCAGCAAAGAUCACCUUGAUGCUGAAUCCACAGCUUUCAAACUGCAAGACUCUGUGGGAUUGGAAUGGAUCUAUAGGAACUACAGUAACUCUGCAAACAGGGCAAUGCCACCCCCACUGUACCACUGAUCCAGCUCUCAGAAAGUUUGAUUUUCUGCUGAAUAAGAUCCAGACACUUUGGACUGUAUUGGUUAGAUUUUUCAUUUCUUUAGUUGGACAAAGAUAUACAAUGUUUAGGGAUUAUGUUUUUCCUUUUUCAAUUGCAACCUAUAUACUUCAUUGCCUAAGUGCUACUUUAGCAUCAAUUGCAAGAAUAUAAAUAAAAACCACACUCUGUAUUUGUUCAUCUAAGACCUUGAAAAGCAGUAAAUCAAAAUCCUUCCUUGGUCUACCUUCAGUUCUCAUGACAGGACCAAUACAUUUGGACUGCUGCAACUUAUUUAGAUGAUGUUUGUCAAGAUGGUGGAUUUAAACCACAUAGCAGCU